rnacentral:rRNA from 1 species
GUGCAGGGUUCCUACAUGCAAACGCAAGGGAAUUGACGGGCUGCCUCUUGAAGGGGUAGCCCCCAAGGGUUUUCUAAUACAGGGGGCGAAUGACGGUACCGUAAGAAUAACCACCGGCUAACUACGUGCCAGCAGCCGCGGUAAUACGUAGGGUGCGAGCGUUAAUCGGAAUUACUGGGUGUAAAGCGUGCGCAGGCGGUUAUAUAAGACAGAUGUGAAAUCCCCGGGCUCAACCUGGGAACUGCAUUAGUGACUGUAUAGCUAGAGUGCGGCAGAGGGGGAUGGAAUUCCGCGUGUAGCAGUGAAAUGCGUAUAUAUGCAGAGGAACACCGAUGGAAAACGCAACCCCCUGGCCCUGCACUGACGCUCAUGCACGAAAGCGUGGGGAGCAAACAGGAUUAGAUACCCUGGUAGUCCACGCCCUAAACGAUGUCAACUGGUUGUUGGGUCUUCACUGACUCAUUAACCCAAGCUAACGCCUGAAGUUGACCGCCUGGGGAGUACGGCCGCCAGGUUAAAACUCAAA